rnacentral:ncRNA from 2 species
AGGACUACGGACGGGCUGAGCUUUCAGGCUCCCCACAGCUCUGCCCGACUCUGGUUCGCA